rnacentral:sRNA from 1 species
UUUAUGUAUGAAUCUUUUGGAGAUGUCCCGACUAAUAUAAGUAGGAGAAGCUAGUGUGUAUCCAUCACCUAUGGAGAAGUUGGAGGAUUAUAUACAUUAUAUAUAGGGGUGUCAAAAUGGGUCAAAAUUCAUGGGUCAACUCAACUCAACUCAACCCAUGAACUUUAAUGAGUUAAAAUUUUUGACUCAAAUGAGUUGAUGGGUCAAAUGAGUUAUUUGGUCAAUUGGUUUGAUGAGUCAAAUGAGUUGGGUUGUAAUGGUUAAUGGUUUCAAUGGUUUACCCAAUUAACCUAUCAAGUUUUGUAAAAUUGAAUGAAACCAACUAAAAUCUUUAAACCAAUGCCAAUUUAAGCUUAACCAACACAUCUAAACCAAUUUAAUAAAAU